rnacentral:rRNA from 1 species
UACGGGGGGAGCAAGCGUUGUUCGGAUUUACUGGGCGUAAAGGGCGCGUAGGCGGCCACCGCAAGUCGGUUGUGAAAUCUCUGGGCUUAACCCAGAAAGGUCAACCGAUACUGCGGGGCUAGAGUGCAGAAGGGGCAACUGGAAUUCUCGGUGUAGCGGUGAAAUGCGUAGAGAUCAUGAGGAAGACCAGUGGCGAAGGCGGGUCUCUGGACAGUUCCUGACACUGAGACACGAAGGCCAGGGGAGCAAACGGG